AACUGGAUAUCCCCGACAAAAACGAGAUAAAAAUUAUGGAAAAGGAGGAAAAGAAGAAGGGAACAGGAACAAACAACUUAUUUAAAGAUGCUAAAAAAAGAAGGCAGAUGGAGGACAACCAAUCUAAAAAGAAACAAACAACAGAUGGACUGAAAAAGGCGAAGAAAUCAACCUUCCGACAUUUCAUCAGUUCGCUGUUGAUAUGUUUCAGGAAACCAAAAAUAGGAGAAGAAAUAUAGAAUACUUAUUUAUUUUAUGGUCGUUUAAAUUAUGUAUUAUAUUUUCUUAUAAAAUUAUUAUUUUAUUAUA